AUAUCAAUAAGCGGAGGAAAAGAAACCAACUGGGAUUACCUUAGUAACGGCGAGUGAAGCGGUAAAAGCUCAAAUUUGAAAUCUGGUACUUUCAGUGCCCGAGUUGUAAUUUGUAGAAUUUGUCUUUGAUUAGGUCCUUGUCUAUGUUCCUUGGAACAGGACGUCAUAGAGGGUGAGAAUCCCGUUUGGCGAGGAUACCUUUUCUCUGUAAGACUUUUUCGAAGAGUCGAGUUGUUUGGGAAUGCAGCUCAAAGUGGGUGGUAAAUUCCAUCUAAAGCUAAAUAUUGGCGAGAGACCGAUAGCGAACAAGUACAGUGAUGGAAAGAUGAAAAGAACUUUGAAAAGAGAGUGAAAAAGUACGUGAAAUUGUUGAAAGGGAAGGGCAUUUGAUCAGACAUGGUGUUUUUUGCAUGCACUCGCCUCUCGUGGGCUUGGGCCUCUCAAAAAUUUCACUGGGCCAACAUCAAUUCUGGCAGUAGGAUAAAUCAUUAAGAAUGUAGCUACCUCGGUAGUGUUAUAGCUUAUUGGAAUACUGCUAGCUGGGAUUGAGGACUGCGCUUCGGCAAGGAUGUUGGCAUAAUGGUU
rnacentral:rRNA from 1 species